rnacentral:rRNA from 1 species
UGGGGAAUCUUGCACAAUGGGAGCAACCCUGAUGCAGCGACGCCGCGUGAGCGAUGAAGCCCUUCGGGGCGUAAAGCUCUUUCGACCGGAACGAUAAUGACGGUACCGGGAGAAGAAGCUGCGGCUAACUACGUGCCAGCAGCCGCGGUAAUACGUAGGCAGCAAGCGUUGUUCGGAGUUACUGGGCGUAAAGAGUGCGUAGGCGGUUUUCUAAGUUCGGUGUGAAAUCUCCCGGCUUAACUGGGAGGGUGCGCCGAAGACUGGGAAGCUGGAGUGUGGGAAAGGCAGGCGGAAUUCCUGGUGUAGCGGUGAAAUGCGUAGAUAUCAGGAGGAACACCGGCGGUGUAGACGGCUUGCUAGACCAUAACUGACGCUGAGGCACGAAAGCGUGGGUAGCAAACA